UGGGGAAUAUUUGGCAAUGGGGGAAACCCUGACCCAGCAACGCCGCGUGAGGGAAGAAGGUUUUCGGAUCGUAAACCUCUGUCCUUUGGGACGAAAGAAAUGACGUGACCAAAGGAGGAAGCCCCGGCUAACUACGUGCCAGCAGCCGCGGGAAUACGUAGGGGGCGAGCGUUGUCCGGAAUGAUUGGGCGUAAAGGGCGCGUAGGCGGCCUGUUAAGUCUGGAGUGAAAGUCCUGCUUUCAAGGGGGGAAUUGCUUUGGAGACUGGCGGGCUGGAGUGCAGGAGAGGUUAGCGGAAUUCCCGGUGUAGCGGUGAAAUGCGUAGAGAUCGGGAGGAACACCAGUGGCGAAGGCGGCUAACUGGACUGUAACUGACGCUGAAGCGCGAAAGUGUGGGGAGCAAACAGG
rnacentral:rRNA from 2 species